ensembl:lncRNA novel transcript
GAUGUAAAAAAAAAUCUAGUUUUGACAAAUGUAUUGGAAAUAGGUCUUGGCUUGCCACUGCACUUCUUUAGAGAUUGAACAACUGAUCAUGGGAUAUGAUGUAACAAGACCUGAAAUAUCCAUUAUGAAUUGCAUGUUAUGAGAUCUACUGGAAAAUAGCAUGGUAUACACAGUUGCUGUAGACAAGUAAGGAACACUGGUCUAUAGGCCAUCAAGCUGAAGCACGUGCUAUGGGCACAAAAAGGUUGCAUGUAGAGGUGACUCAGACCUCCAUGGCACCUACCUCCAUGCAUUGCCACCUUUCAACCCACAACUGAGGCCCUAUUGGUGUUUCUUAUUAACAGAUGGUAAGGCUCCAGCAGAAAGACAUUGGCAAGUGUUAGAGGAAAAGAGGAAAGUUUAUCCAAAAGUUUUAUGGAAAUCCCCAGAAGAAGGACAAUGGAAAGAUCCAGUGGAUUUACUGAUGAGAAGACAAGGUUAUACUCGUGUUUUUACAGGAGAUGGACAAACCGUGUGGAUGCCCUCAAGGUGCAUGAGACCAUGGAAUGGGAGACUGGAGGAACCC